rnacentral:rRNA from 1 species
UACGGAGGGUGCAAGCGUUAUCCGGAUUUACUGGGUUUAAAGGGUGUGUAGGCGGGCUAUUAAGUCAGCGGUGAAAUCUCCGGGCUCAACCUGGAAACUGCCAUUGAUACUAUUAGUCUUGAAUUCUGUUGAGGUGGGCGGAAUAAAUCAUGUAGCGGUGACAUGCAUAGAUAUGAUUUAGAACACCAAUUGCGAAGGCAGCUCGCUAAACAGAUAUUGACGCUGAGGCACGAAAGCGUGGGGAUCAAACAGG